rnacentral:rRNA from 1 species
ACCCGGAGACCGCGCCUACUCCUAACUGAGCGGGCGCGGGAGACGGGUCUUUUACUUUGAAAAAAUCAGAGUGUUUCAAGCAGGCAGUCGCUCUUGCAUGGAUUAGCAUGGGAUAAUGAAAUAGGACUCUGGUGCUAUUUUGUUGGUUUCGAACACCGGAGUAAUGAUUAACAGGGGACAGUCAGGGGCACUCGUAUNCCGCCGAGAGAGGUGAAAUUCUCAGACCAGCGGAAGACGAACCACUGCGAAAGCAUUUGCCAGGGAUGUUUUCACUGAUCAAGAACGAAAGUUAGGGGAUCGAAGACGAUCAGAUACCGUCGUAGUCUUAACCAUAAACCAUGCCGACUAGGGAUUGGGAGGAUGUUCCAUUUGUGACUCCUUCAGCACCUUUCGGGAAACUAAAGUCUUUGGGUUCCGGGGGGAGUAUGGUCCCAAGGCUGACACUUAAAGGAAUUGACCGGAAGGGCACCACCAGGAGUGGAGCCUGCGGGCUUAAUUUGACUC